rnacentral:rRNA from 1 species
UACGGGGGGGGCAAGCGUUGUUCGGAAUUACUGGGCGUAAAGGGCUCGUAGGUGGCCAACUAAGUCAGACGUGAAAUCCCUCGGCUUAACCGGGGAACUGCGUCUGAUACUGGAUGGCUUGAGUUUGGGAGAGGGAUGCGGAAUCCCAGGUGUAGCGGUGAAAUGCGUAGAUAUCUGGAGGAACACCGGUGGCGAAGGCGGCAUCCUGGACCGGCAUUGACGCUGAGGCGCGAAAGCCAGGGGAGCAAACGGG